AAAUCGUACCCCAAACCGACACAGGUGGUCAGGUAGAGAAUACCAAGGCGCUUGAGAGAACUCGGGUGAAGGAACUAGGCAAAAUGGUGCCGUAACUUCGGGAGAAGGCACGCUGACACGUAGGUGAAGUGAUUUACUCAUGGAGCUGAAGUCAGUCGAAGAUACCAGCUGGCUGCAACUGUUUAUUAAAAACACAGCACUGUGCAAACACGAAAGUGGACGUAUACGGUGUGACGCCUGCCCGGUGCCGGAAGGUUAAUUGAUGGGGUCAGCGCAAGCGAAGCUCCUGAUCGAAGCCCCGGUAAACGGCGGCCGUAACUAUAACGGUCCUAAGGUAGCGAAAUUCCUUGUCGGGUAAGUUCCGACCUGCACGAAUGGCGUAAUGAUGGCCAGGCUGUCUCCACCCGAGACUCAGUGAAAUUGAACUCGCUGUGAAGAUGCAGUGUACCCGCGGCAAGACGGAAAGACCCCGUGAACCUUUACUAUAGCUUGACACUGAACAUUGAGCCUUGAUGUGUAGGAUAGGUGGGAGGCUUUGAAGUGUGGACGCCAGUCUGCAUGGAGCCGGCCUUGAAAUACCACCCUUUAAUGUUUGAUGUUCUAACGUGGACCCGUGAUCCGGGUUGCGGACAGUGUCUGGUGGGUAGUUUGACUGGGGCGGUCUCCUCCUAAAGAGUAACGGAGGAGCACGAAGGUUGGCUAAUCCUGGUCGGACAUCAGGAGGUUAGUGCAAUGGCAUAAGCCAGCUUGACUGCGAGCGUGACGGCGCGAGCAGGUGCGAAAGCAGGUCAUAGUGAUCCGGUGGUUCUGAAUGGAAGGGCCAUCGCUCAACGGAUAAAAGGUACUCCGGGGAUAACAGGCUGAUACCGCCCAAGAGUUCAUAUCGACGGCGGUGUUUGGCACCUCGAUGUCGGCUCAUCACAUCCUGGGGCUGAAGUAGGUCCCAAGGGUAUGGCUGUUCGCCAUUUAAAGUGGUACGCGAGCUGGGUUUAGAACGUCGUGAGACAGUUCGGUCCCUAUCUGCCGUGGGCGCUGGAGAACUGAGGGGGGCUGCUCCUAGUACGAGAGGACCGGAGUGGACGCAUCACUGGUGUUCGGGUUGUCAUGCCAAUGGCACUGCCCGGUAGCUAAAUGCGGAAGAGAUAAGUGCUGAAAGCAUCUAAGCACGAAACUUGCCCCGAGAUGAGUUCUCCCUGAGACUUAGAGUCUCCUGAAGGAACGUUGAAGACGACGACGUUGAUAGGCCGGGUGUGUAAGCGCAGCGAUGCGUUGAGCUAACCGGUACUAAUGAACCGUGAGGCUUAACCUUACA
rnacentral:rRNA from 1 species